AUUGAACGCUGGCGGCAGGCCUAACACAUGCAAGUCGAGCGGAUGAAGGGAGCUUGCUCCUGGAUUCAGCGGCGGACGGGUGAGUAAUGCCUAGGAAUCUGCCUGGUAGUGGGGGAUAACGUCCGGAAACGGGCGCUAAUACCGCAUACGUCCUGAGGGAGAAAGUGGGGGAUCUUCGGACCUCACGCUAUCAGAUGAGCCUAGGUCGGAUUAGCUAGUUGGUGGGGUAAAGGCCGACCAAGGCGACGAUCCGUAACUGGUCUGAGAGGAUGAUAAGUCACACUGGAACUGAGACACGGUCCAGACUCCUACGGGAGGCAGCAGUGGGGAAUAUUGGACAAUGGGCGAAAGCCUGAUCCAGCCAUGCCGCGUGUGUGAAGAAGGUCUUCGGAUUGUAAAGCACUUUAAGUUGGGAGGAAGGGCAGUAAGUUAAUACCUUGCUGUUUUGACGUUACCAACAGAAUAAGCACCGGCUAACUUCGUG
rnacentral:rRNA from 1 species